rnacentral:rRNA from 1 species
ACUCCUACGGGAGGCAGCAGUAGGGAAUCUUCCACAAUGGGCGAAAGCCUGAUGGAGCAACGCCGCGUGGGUGAAGAAGGUCUUCGGAUCGUAAAACCCUGUUGUUAGAGAAGAAAGUGCGUGAGAGUAACUGUUCACGUUUCGACGGUAUCUAACCAGAAAGCCACGGCUAACUACGUGCCAGCAGCCGCGGUAAUACGUAGGUGGCAAGCGUUAUCUGGAUUUAUUGGGCGUAAAGGGAACGCAGGCGGUCUUUUAAGUCUGAUGUGAAAGCCUUCGGCUUAACCGGAGUAGUGCAUUGGAAACUGGGAGACUUGAGUGCAGAAGAGGAGAGUGGAACUCCAUGUGUAGCGGUGAAAUGCGUAGAUAUAUGGAAGAACACCAGUGGCGAAAGCGGCUCUCUGGUCUGUAACUGACGCUGAGGUUCGAAAGCGUGGGUAGCAAACAGGAUUAGAUA